rnacentral:rRNA from 1 species
UGGGGAAUAUUGGACAAUGGGCGAAAGCCUGAUCCAGCCAUGCCGCGUGUGUGAAGAAGGUCUUCGGAUUGUAAAGCACUUUAAGUUGGGAGGAAGGGUUGUAGCCUAAUACGUUGCAACUUUGACGUUACCGACAGAAUAAGCACCGGCUAACUUCGUGCCAGCAGCCGCGGUAAUACGAAGGGUGCAAGCGUUAAUCGGAAUUACUGGGCGUAAAGCGCGCGUAGGUGGUUUGAUAAGUUGGAUGUGAAAGCCCCGGGCUCAACCUGGGAAUUGCAUCCAAAACUGUCUGACUAGAGUACGGUAGAGGGUGGUGGAAUUUCCUGUGUAGCGGCGAAAUGCGUAGAUAUAGGAAGGAACAUCAGUGGCGAAGGCGACCACCUGGACUGAUACUGACACUGAGGUGCGAAAGCGUGGGGAGCAAACAG